rnacentral:lncRNA from 1 species
UCCUUCUCCUUCUCCUUUGAACCCACCGAAGGAGAGCCGCCGCAAAGGGGGAGGGUCUUCUUCGCGUUGCCGCCGAAAGUGAGAGGGAGAGAGAGAGGGCUAUUGGGUUCGUACGGGGGUCUUCUUCUUCUUCAUUGCCAUCGGAGAGGGGGAGAACCACCGGUCUUCGUCGGGGCUGAGGUAAGAGUCCCUCGCCUUCUUCUCCUCCUCUUUUGAUGUUUAGCCUUGGUGUAUGGGGUUUUUGAGCCG